rnacentral:rRNA from 1 species
UACAGAGGAGCCAAGCGUUGUCCGGAUUGACUGGGCGUAAAGCGCACGCAGGCGGAUGCGCGCGUGGGGUGUGAGAUCUGGCCGCUUAACGGCCAGGCGCCAUCCCAUACGGCGCGCCUGGAGUGAUGCAGAGGUCGAUGGAAUUGCCGGUGUAGUGGUGAAAUGCGUGAGAGAUCGGCAGGAACACCCAGGGGGAAACCAGGUCGACUGGGCAUCUACUGACGCUGAGGUGCGAGAGCGUGGGGAGCAAACGGGAUUAGGAUACCCGGAGU